rnacentral:lncRNA from 1 species
CAUAGCUGAGUCUAUCCUUGCUCAGGGACGAGCAAGAGGUAAGCUUGGGGGAGUUUGUUGACGGUCCUUAAGUAUCAAAUUUACUUAUCAAAUAAACAAAGAAAAAGGAUCCAAAUGAAAUCAACAUCUAGACUUAGGGUUUUAUCUGACAGAAUUCCACGAGUUUUGGUGUUUGUCUAUUUCUGCAGGGGGUUAUCAGGAAAUAAGGAAGAAAGGCCCACGUGUCGGGAUUACAUAGAGAUAUCAACCCACCGCGCAAUUUUCUACCAUCUAGAAGACUCCAGAAGCCACGGGAAGGAAGCGGAGCCCGAAAGGGGCCAGGCCCAGGGCGCCCGCCCUGAGGACCUGGGCGCCCGCCCCCCUCUGGACUCCGUUCCGGACUCUCUUCGCACACGACGUUCCACCGACCUAUUGGAUCCAGAAUAACAUAGUACCACCUCGCCUAUCGACCCAAAAACGCAUAGAAGGGGAGCACUAUAUAAGGAGACCCCCUCUGGCCCCUGGAGGAGACAAGAAAUUAUCAUAGAGAUUGAGGGGUGCCCUCGAAGGAAAACCUCUUCUCUAAAUAAUAUUUCUUUUUAGGCUUAGCAACCAAUGUAAAGUAGAAAUAGAUCUUCUAGUUUCUACUAGAUUGAGAGAGAUAGAGUGGAGGUGUGGAUCGGAGGAAGGCCGGCCUGUCGGUGUCUACUCCGAGUUGUACCUACGGGAUCAAGUCUCCUAACCCGAGGCUUGCUUCUAAGAUUCUUCAGUAAUUCGACUUCUAAUACUAGUAAGUUCUUGUUUUAUUGUUCUUUGGUUUAUGAGUUUACUUUAAUCCUCUUCCGGUUGAGUAUUAGAGUAAUCACUUGUUAGCAUAAACGUGGUGUUUAGGCUAGGGUACUCAUAGAUAUCCCCUGACUAGCUGGACCGUGGUAGUAGCGAGGAACGUGACAUUUCCGAGUUACCUUUGUAGAUCACAUCUCGUUAGCAGGGCAUUUCCGAGCAAGAAGAUCGGAUGAAUGGCAAGCACAAGGUAUGUCCAACCAAUCAUCAUGCAACAUUGAAUUAAAUUCAUCCAAUCUUGAAUUUUGCAAAAUUCAAGCUUGGGGGAGUACUUUACAUAAAAACAUCAUUUGCCAUGUUGCUAUGUUGGUUGUCCUUACCUUUGAGACAUGGUCAAUUUGUUAAAUACUAAUUACACUACUUCACCUCCACUUGAGUAGAUCGCUAUAAAUGCUCUCAUGCUACCUUUAUUUGCUUUAGUAUAUGUCUAGGUUUGGAGUAGUUUCAUUUAUCUCUUAAAUCAAGCAUGGUGCUUAGUUUAGGAAUGAUGAUCUUACUUCCAAAGGAUUUUUAAAUUAAGCCUGGUGCUUAGGUUAAAAUGCCCUCCUAAAUCAAAUUAGACAUGGUGUCUAGGUUGAUUUUUGAGCCGAUAGUAUGGUAUAGUAGAUAUGGGAUAUUUUGUUGGACUAACCCCUACAGGAAAACUUUCAAUAUCAACCUGGGAAGUCCUGAGAUAAACUCACAUUGGAGAUAGUGACACAUGAAGUUUAAACAAUUUGCACAAGAAAGACGUAGCUCGUAAGAGAUGAUUCAUGGAGGGUGCCACAAACACGAUGCACAACCGCUAAGAAAGGAAAGCUUCCACAAGGUGAUACUGUACCGUCACUCUUCAAGUAAGGUAACAUUUUAAGGUACUUGACUAUCACUUUUAUAAGCUUCUCCUUGGUUCUAGCGUUCACAUAAAAUAAAGAGACAAACAUGUAUGAUUUGUAGCUCCAAAUUAAUCAACCCAAUUAAUUCAACAUGUUUAGUCCUUUAAUCUUUGUUCUUAGUACUACCUUCGUGAUCCCACACUCCUAAUCAUAUAAGCUAAAGUAUUGCACAUUCAAUCUUUGGAAGAUAUAAACAAAACAUAAAUAUAGAUAGAUUAUCUUUCCAUUUGGUUGAGCCAUCUGAUCUAACAAAUGUUUUAAAUGCUACACUCAUGAUCCAUCAACUUUGUCUUGCUCACUAUGCUUAAGGUUAGAGAAGAACAAAUACACUUUUGGUUCUGUUGGUGUUUUCCACCAACAGGGCCCAUGCACUUGAUCUCUGCCUUGUCUCUAUGAGCAGGACACAUUUUGAGAAACGUGAAGGCGUUCUACAACUCCCAGAUUCCAUCAAGUGAAGAACCGGGAUCUACAAGCACAAACACAAUGGAGAUCAGACACUUAGUUUCCCAAAGGAAAUAUUGAAGAACCUCUGUGUCCGAGUUGGUAUCUUGUACACUGCAGCAAACUUCAUGGUGAUAGAGACUGGUUGUGAGGAGAGGGCACCCAUCAUCUUAGGGAGGCCAUUCCUAAACACCAGAGGUGUCAUCUACGCUAAUGCUGCCAAGAUCAGUCUCUACAUCAGAGGGAAGAAGGAGACUUUCCUUCAAGAACAAGACUACACAAACUUCAGAGCAAUCCCGACAUGAACCAAGGAAGAGGACCAACAGGAGGAACAGGAACAAGCAAAUAUGGACUAAGUCAGCUAAGAUGGUCACUGCAGCUCAAGGAGGUCAAGAUCGUCGACUCAAGUCACCUUUCUUGAUCAAGAAGGACGACCCUGGUGUUCCAAGAAUCGAAUGCACAAACAAUGGAUACUCUUUUUAGAAGACACUCUACGACACCGGAUCUGACGACAACAUAAUGGCCGCAGUCACUUAUCAGCUCCUGCAUGGAACCAUGCCCCUACAACCAAGAUACAUUCAGCUUCAAACAAUUUUCAGGUCAUUGACAUAGGAGAAGAUGAGUAUGAUCCAUCCACCAUCCUUGGAAGACCGUUCCUCAGCACUAUCAAAGCCAUUAUCUAUAUUGGAACCGGAGAAAUCCACAUGCACUUCCCCUCUGCGAAAGGUACGCCACUACUUUAAUGAUUAUAUAGUUGAAGAUUCUAAGCAGGUCAGGACAAGAAGAAGACAAACCGCAACCAGAGGAGGCAAAUCGGACGGAUGGGUAGACUACGAAGGAGAAGUGAUAAGGACUGAAGACAUACAACUUGAACAGAACUAUCCUGAGGAGACCAUAGCACCGAGUCAGGUGUGGAAAGAGAAGAUAGUUAUACACGAAGAGAAGUCGCCGCCGGAACCACCGACUAUGCCACCCAGCAAAUCCCAGGACGACUAAGAAAACAGAGAGUCCCGUUCGGAGGACUUAAAAAUACCGAACGCCUUGCCAAGAGGUAAACUUGGUAGUUAUCCUUUUCCUUUUAAUUAUUUCAAAUAGUUUACUUAGUUAAUCAUGUUCGUAUUAUCCUAGAAAGAAAAUAAAAAUGUGAAAAAAAAACUGUAAGCCCCAUGUGAGUAGACGAGUGGCAUAAAACCCAUAAGUACAUUCACUGUGGUGGCAUAAAAAUAAAAUAAAUAUUUUUCUGCUUUAUAAAAACAAAAAUAUAAAAACAGGGAGUAAUAUUUAUUAAGGAGUCUCAACAUGAUAAAGGCUAGAUAUUUAUGCUAACGCUUAAUCAGUUCCACAAGCUUUGUUGUCUAUUUGAGCUCCACAGAAUUUAAGAAUCAAGAAGACUAGCAGACGGAGGACAUUCUAAUCGCUGUCAAAAUACUGCUGACUUUCAAACACACCUCUGCCAACUGCUAGCUACAUCAAGAGAAAUUACGUCAAAAUUCAGCUUGGGGGAGAGCACCCCCAUUUAUCUCGAUAAGUAUUUCUAUCUAUCUUUAUACUUAUACUAUAUUAGAAUAUAAAUACACAUAACUAUAAAAAACCAAAUAAAGAUUUUAUGCUUAUAUAUAUUUUGCUUAGUGUGUUUAAUAAAUAAAUAAAGUGGCUAUGCUAAUCUGUAUCUAAUAAAACUUAAGCAUGGAUAUGAUGAAUAGUUGCUCUGCGUAAUUUGCAAAUUUGAAGUUCUCUCUCAAGUUUAGAUAUAACUGUUAUAAUUUAAGGCUUGCUCUAGACCUAAACUUGUGGGAUGAAAACUUGAUCUGAAGUCUAAGUUGUUAACGGAUACGAUAUGGGAAGGUUGAGCUGCUGUUUAUCUGUUCCUAGAGAUGCUAGAAUUCUGGAGAAUUUUAUCUUUAAAAAUCUUUAAAAUGUUGCAUGAUGAGUUCCUGUAUGAUGAGAGUUUAAAUUCCUACCACAGCCAUAUAUACAUGCUUGCUAGACCUUGAGCACACAUUUACUAUUUACUGCUUAUGAGAAUUGAGUGUGGUCAAGCUGUGUAGACCCUUAGGAGCUUGUCAUGUGGUUAAAUCAAGAUUCACUUGCACGAUUACUCAUACAUGCUACUUCUACUCCGGAAGUACCAUCCACAUAUAUCCACUCAUUUCUAUCUCCAGUUUUACCCAAAAUUAUUCUACUCCUAAUCCGGGAGAGAAUAGCCAAAAACAUUUUCCUAUCCCUGUUAUUCCCUGUGAAAUAAAUGCUCCAGUUAUUUUGGUUACUACCACUUGCUACAUUAUUUCAGGAGAUGAGUGCUCUAGUAAAAAAAAGAGAAAAAAAAGAGAAGAAAAAAAAAGAGAAAAAAAAAUAAUAAUAUACGAGGAAAUAAAAAGGAGCAAGUGCUCGGAACCUCGAAAGAAAAGAAAAAGAAGAGCAUCUCAUUCUCCUCAUAAAGUUUCAAAAGCAAGGAAGGUAUGUAUCCCCUCAAAGAGCAAAGUAGAAUUAGACUUCCACCACCAUUGUUAUCACCAUCAUCACCAUACACCAUUCAUUCGCCACACAUGCACAUCUUGAUUUGGCUUAUUGAUUUGUUUCUUUGGAUCCAUGGUUUGACUAUGCAAUAAAUGUCUUGUAAGUAUGUAUACUUUAUCUCCCACCUAUGAGCUCCAGAUAUUAAAGCCUUAUUAGAGUAGGGUGAGAGAGAAGACAAUGUCACUAUGCUUCAUACCACAAAUACUACAUAUUUUGAGAGAAGGCAUAUACCAUCACUGCCUUGGUAAGGAUCCAAAAAUACCACAAAAGAGAGACUUGAGAGAAUCAUACAAGGAAUUUCUGAGUUUUAUUUGAAAAUCUGCAAAAACCCCAGAGCUAUAGCUGAUCAAGAAUAAGAGACAUGGCACUUGGCUAGACUGUUCUAUCUUUUAACCACUCAAGACAGAAGUGACAGUUACAAGUCCCAUGGUAAAGGUAAAGUAAGUAAGUUUUAAGUCUUGAUAGUUUACUCUAACUCAGAGAUGAGAUCUUAUUUAAAAAGCAUGUGUACAUCAAUUUUUAAAAAUAUUGCAACAUUUAUGAUCCAUAGCUGAGUCUAUCCUUGCUCAGGGACGAGCAAGAGGUAAGCUUGGGGGAGUUUGUUGACGGUCCUUAAGUAUCAAAUUUACUUAUCAAAUAAACAAAGAAAAGGAUCCAAAUGAAAUCAACAUCUAGACUUAGGGUUUUAUCUGACAGAAUUCCACGAGUUUUGGUGUUUGUCUAUUUCUGCAAGGGGUUAUCAGGAAAUAAGGAAGAAAGGCCCACAUGUCAGGAUUACAUAGAGAUAUCAACCCACCACGCAAUUUUCUACCAUCUAGAAGACUCCAGAAGCCACAGGAAGGAAGCGGAGCCCGAAAGGGGCCAGGCCUAGGGCGCCCGCCCUGAGGACCUGGGCGCCCGCCCCCCUCUGGACUCCGUUCUGGACUCUCUUCGCACACGACGUUCCACCGACCUAUUGGAUCCAGAAUAACAUAGUACCACCUCGCCUAUCGACCCAAAAACGCAUAGAAGGGGAGGACUAUAUAAGGAGACCCCCUCUGGCCCCUGGAGGAGACAAGAAAUUAUCUUAGAGAUUGAGGGGUGCCCUCGAAGGAAAACCUCUUCUCUAAAUAAUAUUUCUUUUUAGGCUUAGCAACCAAUGUAAAGUAGAAAUAGAUCUUCAAGUUUCUACUAGAUUGAGAGAAAUAGAGUGGA